UCCUCUGCAUGAAUGCCUGAGUAGAUUUGGAGCGGUGUUUUGGAUCAUUGUCUUGUUAAAAUAUCCAUCCCCGGCAUAACUUCAACUUUGUAACUGAUUCUUGAACAUUAUUCUCAAGAAUCUGCUCAUAUUGAAUGAAAUCCAGGCGACCCUCAACUUUAACAAGAUUCCCAGUGCCGGCAUUGGCCACACAGCCCCAAAGCAUGAUGGAACCUCCACCAAAUUUUACAGUGGGUAGCAAGUGUUUUUCUUGGAAUGCUGUGGGUUGCAGAAAAGUCUUCUGUCGCAUCACUCUCCCAAACAGCUUCUCCUUGUGCAAAGUGCGCUGAAUUGUUUAACGAUGCACAGUGACACCAUCUGCAGCCAGAUGUUGCUGCAGGUCUUUGGAGGUGGUCUGUGGGUUGAUAGUUCUCACCAUUCUUGUUCUCUGCCUCUCUGAUAUUUUUCUUGGCCUGCCACUUCUGGGCUUAACAAGAACUGUCCCUGUGUUCUUCCAUUUCCUUACUAUGUUCCUCAAAGUGGAAACUGACAGUUUAAAUCUCUGAGACAACUUUUUGUAUCCUUCUCCUAAACAACUAUGUUAAAAAAUCUGUUUUCAGAUCAUUUGAGAGUUGUUUUGAGGUGCCUAUGAUGCCACUCUUCAGAGGAGAUUCAAACAGGAGAACAAUUUGCAAUAGGCCACCUUAAAUACCUUUUCUCAUGAUUGGCUACAUCUGGCUAUGAAGUUAAAAUCUUAAUGAAGUUACCAAACCAAUUUUGUGUUUCAGUAAGUCAGUGAAAAGUUAUUAAUGGUAUUCAAAUCAAUAAAAUGAUAAGGGUACCCAAAUUUUUGCACUUGUUGUUACGGCCAAUGGCCUUGUAUGUUUCCUUUGUCUCUUUCUUUUCUGUAUAUCUGCAGCUUCCUAAUUAAAUGAACUCCAUUGGGAACUGGCUGCAGCCCUAAUCCUCCUGUGCCACUCCCUGAGGUCUACAGCAGAUCUGAUUGGCUCACCAAUUAUCAGCUCCACCAAUCCCUGAUGAGGCCUCCCUUUUUAAACCCAAGACUUCCUGGGAGAAGGUGCGGCUGAUUCUUUACUGAGACAGCUUGCCACUUUGCUGGGUGUUUGUUGACUGCUGUAUACUGCAUUGUCUUUUUGUUAGCUUUUGUAAAUCUUUGUUACCUGUGAUAGUCCCUGUGGGGGGUUUGUAUGUAAGCUUAUAGUAGCCUACUAGAGUUUUGUUGUUAGUCUUAGGUUUUGGUCCUGUUUUGUUUGGUUAAGAUCUUUGGUUUCCAACUCUGGUUGUUUUGUGGACAUUGUUUUAUUCAGUGUUUUUCUUUUUGGUUAUAACACCUUACCUUUUGACUGUAGGUUUUUUUUUUACCUUUUAUUUUGUUAAACCCAAACAAUAAAUUCCAAACUGAUAAACCUUAA